rnacentral:misc_RNA from 1 species
GAAAUGCGAUAAGUAAUGUGAAUUGCAGAAUUCAGUGAAUCAUCGAAUCUUUGAACGCACCUUGCGCUCCUUGGUAUUCCUUGGGGCAUGCCUGUUUGAGUAUCAUGAAAUCUUCAAAGUAAAUCUUUUGUUAACUCAAUUGGUUUCUACUUUGGUAUUGGAGGUCUUUGCAGCUCCACACCUGCUCCUCUUUGUUCAUUAGCUGGAUCUCAGUGUUAUGCUUGGUUCCACUCGGCGUGAUAAGUUAUCUAUCGCUGAGGACACUGUAAAAGGUGGCCAAGGUAAAUGCAGAUGAACCGCUUCUAAUAGUCCAUUGACUUGGACAAUACUUUUAUGAUCUGAUCUCAAAUCAGGUAGGACUACCCGCUGAACUUAAGC